rnacentral:rRNA from 1 species
UUUACGGAGAGUUUGAUCCUGGCUCAGGACGAACGCUGGCGGCGUGCUUAACACAUGCAAGUCGAACGAUGAAGCUGGGGCUUGCUCUGGUGGAUUAGUGGCGAACGGGUGAGUAACACGUGAGUAACCUGCCCUUGACUCUGGGAUAAGCGUUGGAAACGACGUCUAAUACCGGAUACGAGCCUCCGCCGCAUGGUGAGGGGUUGGAAAGAUUUUUUGGUCAAGGAUGGACUCGCGGCCUAUCAGCUUGUUGGUGAGGUAAUGGCUCACCAAGGCGACGACGGGUAGCCGGCCUGAGAGGGUGACCGGCCACACUGGGACUGAGACACGGCCCAGACUCCUACGGGAGGCAGCAGUGGGGAAUAUUGCACAAUGGGCG